GGCUAGGUAGCUUAGUUGGUAAAGCGCUCGUCUAGCAUACAAGAGUCCUGGGUUUAAAUCCUAGCCAAGCAC
rnacentral:tRNA from 1 species